CCGAUCUGGGAGGAACGACCUUCAGCGCAGCCUGUAAGGACAAACCGGCACAUGAAACGUCUGCUGAAGAAAGGGAGGACGUUGUUUGAUGGUGCCUUGGCUGGAAGUUCCCCAGUGCCUGUUCAUCACCACAUCCGCCUACAGAUUCCCAGAAUAAAACAUGGGAGUGUAUGGCUGGCCUGUGAUCUGGAUCGUGGAUCCCCUUACCCCAAAAUUUCUCAUCAAGACUGACUCAAGCAACAGGAAGAUCACAAAGCCUUCAACAAAGCCAAAGAACUAUGUGAAUUAUUAAUCAAUUGUAAUUAACAUGUGACUCAAGUAAGACGAGAACUAACAUGUGCAUUCAGAUACAAAAACCGAGAGGGCCACAAAGAUGAAAAUAGGACAACACUGCAUUCUAAGAUAGAACUAGGAAUACAUUUCUAUGCCACAUAAUCCUGUUACGUUUCCAGAUAAUGCUUUCUCCUUCUUCUUUUUAAAAAGAUCAUCUUGACCUCAGAACAACACAACAAAUUUGCCUGGAUGAUCAGUACUCAUAACAACUCUUGUUCAAUUUGUCCUCAUUCUCCCCCUCACCCUGGAUGCUCUAUUCACUUUCGGCUAAAAUUAGACACAGCAAGCAAUAUUCUAUCACUUUUCCUUUUGUGCAUCUAAAAAUAU